rnacentral:rRNA from 1 species
CCUACGGGUGGCUGCAGUGAGGAAUAUUGGUCAAUGGACGAGAGUCUGAACCAGCCAAGUAGCGUGAAGGACGACUGCCCUAUGGGUUGUAAACUUCUUUUAUAUGGGAAUAAAAUGUUCCACGUGUGGGAUUUUGUAUGUACCAUCUGAAUAAGGAUCGGCUAACUCCGUGCCAGCAGCCGCGGUAAUACGGAGGAUCCGACCGUUUUCCGGAUUUAUUGGGUUUAAGGGGGGCGUAGGUGGAUUGUUAAGUCAGUUGUGAAAGUUUGCGGCUCAACCGUAAAAUUGCAGUUGAAACUGGCAGUCUGGAGUACGGUAGAGGUGGGCGGAAUGCGUGGUGUAGCGGUGAAAUGCAUAGAUAUCACGAAGAACUCCGAUUGCGAAGGCAGCUCACUGGACUGCAACUGACACUGAGGCACGAAAGUGUGGGUAUCAAACAGGAUUAGAUACCCGUGUAGUC